GAUCUCCCCGUGCAAAAGCGGGGAUACACCCAUAAGACGAGAAGACCCUAUGGAGCUUUAGAUGUUACAACAAGCAUUAUGUGCUAUUCCCAAACAAAGGGGAUAACCACUAGCCCCUGCCCAAACAUCUUCGGUUGGGGUGACCAUGGGAAACAAGAAACUCCCACGUCUCUGUAUUGGAAUCUCCUUAUUUUGACCCAAAAAAACUUCUUCAAACGAGAGCCACCGCUCUAGUUCAACAGAAUUUCUGACCACCGAUCCGGCAACGCCGAUUAACGAACUAAGUU
rnacentral:rRNA from 1 species